rnacentral:lncRNA from 13 species
UAAUGAGCAUGGCGGACUCAGACGUCAAUAUGACAGACUCUGAGGUCAACGCCACAGACUCGGAGCUCCACAUGGAGUGUGUGGAGGAGGAUCUGACACCGUGGCAACAGCACCCAGAUGAGGAAAUGGAAGAAACAAGCAAGGGACCCAGUAAAGCACCAUUACUACCCAAACCAGUGGCCCUGACUCAAGUGCUGCAGCCUCUUCAGACCUCCAUGCCUCAGGUGCUGCAGAUGCCGGCCACUAUGCUGCCUAGCACAAGCAGCACCACUGGGAAGAACAUCAUAUUCACCACACAGAACAUUCAAGGGGGGACACAGACCAUAAGUGCCGAACCGGUAGGAUAUAUCCUGAAUGGCCAGCCCAUCACCGUGCUGCCUGGUGGCCAGGGAACCCAGCUGCAGCUAGCGCCCCAGCAGGUCCCGUCUCAGCCCAGGGGCAGACCGUCCACCAGCG